AUGGUGGUUGGAUGAAGUACUUUGUUGAUUUAUUGUGAGACUUUAAUUUUGUUCUGGGGAUUAUUGUGCUGUUAUGGAAUUCAUGUAACUAGGUCCAGUUGUAAGCUUUGGAUCCACUAUUUAUGGGUUCAACAGAUGUAGCAUGGGUUGCGUUAUGUGCUUCAGUGUUGGUUCAUCUACAGUGUUCAUACAUGGAUGUGAGUUGUGAUUUGGUGGUCCAUUUUAAUAUUGCAAGUGGUUCAUUUUGAGUCAUUGUGAUCUAUCACUACAAACUACUUUCAUGCAUGUGGCCGGCUUCUUAGAUGGAUGCUGUAAGCUGCUACAAAUUAUUGAUAAACUGUAGGGAAGAUUUGAAUAAGUCUCCUUAAGAGAUGUUAGGUUUGCUUAGAUUUUGUUAGAAGUUUGAAUUAUUCUAAGUUGUUUUUAUUUCCAAGCCUUAGGGGAUUUUCUUGGCUAUCAGUUACUGAGUUUUAGAAGCUGUAAUAAAUUAGGCAUGAUUUAAUCAGAGAAAAUCUUAGUUGCACUGUGAUUCCAUGAUUUGCCAAUAGGAUAUGUGCUUGGUCUUGGUGAAUGAUGAAAGAAUUAGAAUCUGGUUUACUUUGAUAUAAAUUGUCAGAAAAAGCAUAAAGAACCAUUAGUGACUCCUAGUUUGUGCCCUUGUUUUGUAGUGUGCAACAUUUUCUACUAUAGAUUAAUAUUUAUUCGUUUCUUUGGGAUUUAUAUUAAAACACAUAAAAGAUGGUGGUUGGAUGAAGUACUUUUUUGAUUUGUGAGACUUCAAUUUUGUUCUGGGGAUUAUUGUGCUGUUAUGGAAUUUAUGUAACUAGGUCCAGUUGUAAGCUUUGGACCCACUAUUCGUGGGUUCAACAGACGUAGCUUGGGUUGCGUUAUGUGCUUCUCUGUUGCUCCACCUAAGUGUUGGUCCAUGGAUGUGAGUUGUCAUUUGGUGGUCCAUUUUAAUAUUGCAAGUGGUUCAUUUUGAGUCAUUGUGAUCUAUCACUACGAACUACUUUCAUGCAUGUGGCCAGCUUCUUGAAUGGAUGCUGUAAGCUGCUACAAAUUCUUGAUAAACUGUAGGGAUGAUUUGAAUAAGUCUCCUUAAGAGAUGUUAGGUUUGCUUAGAUUUUGUUAGAAGUUUGAA
rnacentral:lncRNA from 1 species